CUUUUUGGCCCCUAAUUCCUAAAGUGUUGGGACCAAAACUCCCAAAAUCAAUCCCAACCUUCCUUUUGUGGUCAUAAACCUUGUGUUAAAAUUUCAUUGAUUUCUAUUCACUUUUACUAAAGUUAGAGUGCGAAAACUAAAAGUAUUCGGACGACGACGACGACGCAGACGACGACGCCAACGUGAUAGCAAUAUACGACCAAAAAAUUAAAAUUUUUGCGGUCGUAUAAAAACUACCUCAACCAAAAA
rnacentral:lncRNA from 1 species